rnacentral:rRNA from 1 species
CAGCCAUAUGGCGCCGAUGACAGACUUGGGUACACCCCGGAGUUUUCCAUCAACCCGAUGUGCUUGCGGGAUAGGGAUCUCUGGCUUAUGCGGUGCCCACUGAUAUGCAACUGGGCUGUUGAGUUUCAUUUGCCACAUCGCGUGUUUCGUCAGUUUGGUCUGUUCCAGCCUCACCCACCGGAAUGGGUGGAUACGGACAAAGCACUUCAUAGGUUGGACAGGAGAAGGCAGCGGAAGAUAAAGGACUGGGACAAGCAUCAUGCUUCGUAUGUUACCCGCUUCCAGCUUUGCGUGGAGCAAGCUCGUAGCAGUGCACGCGCCCAGCUUCGUGAGCAUAACCCACUUGCUUUUGAUAACUACAUACGAUGGCUUCUUGGAAAUACUCGAGUUGAGAUAUGCCCGUCGGCAUAUAAUGAGGAUAUUCUUGAAGAACCCGUAAACUUUGAGGAUCUAUCAAAGGGGAAGUACAACAGAGAUGUCAGGGUAGGGCAAGGAGUCCCUGAUGUUCCGGUGAUUAACUAUGUGCGCACCGAGAUCAAGAAAGCAGCUGAUGAGAGCCAGUCUAUUCUGGAGAAAACACCGGUUGGAAAAGACAAUGAUGAUGGUUCACUACGAGCAUUCCUCAAGCGUCAGGCCAAGAAGUUAAGGCGGUUAUCGAAUCUUCUCGGUUGCCGUGAUCCCGAAUUUGAUGAACCAUCUGCCUCUAGGUCUGGUACACCAUCAGACCCCUCAUCUCACCAUCAGGGGGACGAUGUGAGUUCCUCAUAUGCUUAUCUGGAUGAUGAGGGU